AAAACCAAACUCAAAGACCAUGACCACACUAAUAUCCGCUGGUGUGGUUAUUAUGCAAUGAAAACUACAAAUACAUAUGGACCAAAAGCCUACUAAAACUUGAAGAAAAUAAUAAAUUAAAGAAAUUCCAAGCUUUACCAUAAACAGCUGUAACUUAAAUCUUAAAUCCCUUGGACACACUUUACAGGAGGCCCACAUGUGAUGAAGACAGGAUUCUAAGGUUUGGCACUUCUUCAAAUUGGAUUAGUUGGAGGAUGUUUCAAAGUUGGAAAGUUAUGUGUGUUACCCUUGGCACUGGAUGAUUGCAACAGUAAGUGGCAACUGGGAUAUUUCUCCAGAGCUUCUACAACAACAAAUUGAGAGUUUCACAAGCACCUGGGGCCCAGCAGACGUUGGGAAGCCUAUUCUGGGACUCGCCUCCAUCUAAAUGAUUUGAAAAUUCAGCUCCUGAACACAGCCAGAUUGCUGUCAGCAAUUCGAAUAAGUUUUAACAACACUGGAUCCACCUCAAGGUUAUUUCUUCAAUAUCAUACAGAAAAUAUUGUAAAUGAAGGAAAUAUGAUGCA
rnacentral:lncRNA from 10 species